rnacentral:rRNA from 1 species
GAAACGACUGCUAAGACUGGAUAGGAGACAAGAGGCAUCUUCUUGUUUUUAAAAGACCUAGCAAUAGGUAUGCUUAGGGAGGAGCUUGCGUCACAUUAGUUAGUUGGUGGGGUAAAGGCCUAACAAGACUAUGAUGUGUAGCCGGGCUGAGAGGUUGAACGGCCACAUUGGGACUGAGACACGGCCCAAACUCCUACGGGAGGCAGCAGUAGGGAAUUUUCGGCAAUGGAGGAAACUCUGACCGAGCAACGCCGCGUGAACGAUGAAGUAUUUCGGUACGUAAAGUUCUUUUAUUAGGGAAGAAUAAAUGAUGGAAAAAUCAUUCUGACGGUACCUAAUGAAUAAGCCCCGGCUAACUAUGUGCCAGCAGCCGCGGUAAUACAUAGGGGGCAAGCGUUAUCCGGAAUUAUUGGGCGUAAAGGGUGCGUAGGCGGUUAAAUAAGUUUAUGGUCUAAGUGCAAUGCUCAACAUUGUGAUGCUAUAAAAACUGUUUAGCUAGAGUAAGAUAGAGGCAAGUGGAAUUCCAUGUGUAGUGGUAAAAUGCGUAAAUAUAUGGAGGAACACCAGUAGCGAAGGCGGCUUGCUGGGUCUUUACUGACGCUGAGGCACGAAAGCGUGGGGAGCAAACAGGAUUAGAUACCCUGGUAGUCCACGCCGUAAACGAUGAGUACUAAACGUUGGGUAAAACCAGUGUUGAAGUUAACACAUUAAGUACUCCGCCUGAGUAGUACGUACGCAAGUAUGAAACUUAAAGGAAUUGACGGGACUCCGCACAAGCGGUGGAUCAUGUUGUUUAAUUCGAAGGUACCCGAAAAACCUCACCAGGUCUUGACAUGCUUCUGCAAAGCUGUAGAAACACAGUGGAGGUUAUCAGUUGCACAGGUGGUGCAUGGUUGUCGUCAGCUCGUGUCGUGAGAUGUUGGGUUAAGUCCCGCAACGAGCGCAACCCUUAUUGUUAGUUACCAGCACGUAAUGGUGGGGACUUUAGCAAGACUGCCAGUGAUAAAUUGGAGGAAGGUGGGGACGACGUCAAAUCAUCAUGCCCCUUAUGACCUGGGCUACAAACGUGAUACAAUGGCUGUUACAAAGGGUAGCUGAAGCGCAAGUUUUUGGCGAAUCUCAAAAAAACAGUCUCAGUUCGGAUUGAAGUCUGCAACUCGACUUCAUGAAGUUGGAAUCGCUAGUAAUCGCGAAUCAGCAUGUCGCGGUGAAUACGUUCUCGGGGUUUGUACACACCGCCCGUCA